CACAGCACGAGAUGACCCAAUAACCCGAACUCCUACGUCGUUCGGGUUAUUGGGUCAUCUCGUGCUGUG
rnacentral:sRNA from 1 species